GCAGGGAAUCUUGGGCAAUGGGCGAAAGCCUGACCCAGCGACGCCGCGUGGGGGAAGAAGGCCUUCGGGUCGUAAACCCCUUUUCAUGGGGAAGAGGAAGGACGGUACCUGUGGAAGAAGCCCCGGCCAACUACGUGCCAGCAGCCGCGGUAAGACGUAGGGGGCGAGCGUUACCCGGAAUCACUGGGCGUAAAGGGCGAGUAGGCGGCCUGAUCAGUCGUGGGUGAAAACCUUGGGCUCAACCGAAGGAGCGCACACGAGACGGUGAGGCUAGAGGGCAGCAGAGGCGGGUGGAAUUCCCGGAGUAGCGGUGGAAUGCGUAGAGAUCGGGAGGAACCCCAGAGGCGAAGGCGACCCGCUGGGCUGAGCCUGACGCUGAGGCGCGAAAGCGUGGGGAGCAAACAGG
rnacentral:rRNA from 1 species